UUAAUAGGCCUGGAAGAGACAGAAGUACCCACACAACAGGUCUAGCAUGGACAGUGGCAGUAAAAGGUUCCCCACACUGCCCUGCAGAUAUACCUCAAUCCUGAGCUAGAGGGUACCAGCUAUAAGUAAGAGUUAUGCUCCAUCUUCUUUCAGUUUCUGGCCUCU
ensembl:misc_RNA